GUUCCUUGAACUACGAAGCUCUGAAUUCAUCAUUGCACUAUGAGGAUACGUAGGCAUGAGGGCCCUAAUCCUCACUGAGCACUCUAUCUAUUUCUUUUCCUUUCCCUUUCUAUUUCUUUUCCUUUCCCAUGGAUGUUUGGGGUGCUAAUACUUUCCCCUUGCAUAACCGACUUCCUUACCCACUAUAUCUCUUUCCCCUCGGGUUUUAUCGAUGUUUUCC
rnacentral:lncRNA from 1 species